UAAGGAAUAUUGGUCAAUGGACGCAAGUCUGAACCAGCCAUGCCGCGUGAAGGAUGAAGGUCCUCUGGAUUGUAAACUUCUUUUAUCUGGGACGAAAACGGGAUUUUUAUCUCAAUUGACGGUACCAGAGGAAUAAGCACCGGCUAACUCCGUGCCAGCAGCCGCGGUAAUACGGAGGGUGCGAGCGUUAUCCGGAUUUACUGGGUUUAAAGGGUGCGUAGGUGGGCUUAUAAGUCAGUGGUGAAAUCUCCGAGCUUAGCUUGGAAACUGCCGUUGAUACUAUAGGUCUUGAAUUAUCUGGAGGUAAGCGGAAUAUGGCAUGUAGCGGUGAAAUGCUUAGAUAUGACAUAGAACACCAAUUGCGAAGGCAGCUUACUACAUAUAAAUUGACGCUGAGGCACGAAAGCGUGGGGAUCAAACA
rnacentral:rRNA from 1 species